GCAUAACCUAGAGAUAGGCGAAGUCCUUCGGGACAUCCAGACAGGUGGUGCAUGGUUGUCGUCAGCUCGUGUCGUGAGAUGUUGGGUUAAGUCCCGCAACGAGCGCAACCCUUGUAUUCAGUUGCUACGCAAGAGCACUCUGGAUAGACUGCCGUUGACAAAACGGAGGAAGGUGGGGAUGACGUCAAAUCAUCAUGCCCCUUACGACCUGGGCCACACACGUACUACAAUGGCGCACAACAGAGGGAAGCAAGACAGCGAUGUGGAGCAAACCCCUAAAAUGCGUCCCAGUUCAGAUUGCAGGCUGCAACCCGCCUGCAUGAAGUCGGAAUUGCUAGUAAUCGCGGAUCAGCAUGCCGCGGUGAAUACGUUCCCGGGCCUUGUACACACCGCCCGUCACACCAUGGGAGCCGGUAACACCCGAAGUCAGUAGCCUGACCGCAAGGAGGGCGCUGCCGAAGGUGGGAUUGGUGACUGGGGUGAAGUCGUAACAAGGUAGCCGUAUCGGAAG
rnacentral:rRNA from 1 species